rnacentral:pre_miRNA from 1 species
UAACUCAAAUUUGUAUGGAGUUGGAACGUUUGCCUACGUUUGCCGUUAGGGGCGCUGUUCCAACUGCAUACAAAUUUAAGUUA